rnacentral:rRNA from 1 species
ACGGGAGGCAGCAGUGGGGAAUAUUGGGCAAUGGAGGCAACUCUGACCCAGCAAUGCCGCGUGAAUGAAGAAGGUCUUCGGAUUGUAAAGUUCUUUAAUCAGGGACGAACAAGGUGACGGUACCUGAGGAAUAAGCCACGGCAAACUAUGUGCCAGCAGCCGCGGUAAUACAUAGGUGGCAAGCGUUGUCCGGAAUGACUGGGCGUAAAGGGAGCGUAGGCGGUCUGUUAAGUUGGGAGUGAAAUCCCGGGGCUCAACCCCGGAACUGCUUUCAAGACUGACGGACUUGAGUGUAAGAGGGGUAAGCGGAAUUCCUAGUGUAGCGGUGGAAUGCGUAGAUAUUAGGAGGAACACCAGUGGCGAAGGCGGCUUACUGGAUUAUAACUGACGCUGAGGCUCGAAAGCGUGGGUAGCAAACAGGAUUAGAUACCCUGGUA